rnacentral:rRNA from 1 species
AGUUUAAAGAAGUGUUUUCUGUUGAAGUUUUGGUAAAAGUUCUUUGGAAUAGGACAUCAUAGAGGGUGAGAAUCCCGUAUUUGACCAUUAUUUUCAGCUGUGUGAUACACUUUCAAAGAGUCGGAUUGUUUGGGAAUGCAGUCCAAAAUGGGUGGUAAAUUUCAUCUAAAGCUAAAUAUUGGCGAGAGACCGAUAGCGAACAAGUACCGUGAGGGAAAGAUGAAAAGAACUUUGAAAAGAGAGUUAAACAGUACGUGAAAUUGUCAAAAGGGAAGCGUUUGACACCAGUGUUGUUUUCUCGAAAAUCAAUUAAAAAAAGUUGGAUUUUGUGUUGUAUUGACCUUAACAGCUUGCUUCACUCUUUUCCUGCUUUUUUUAAUGCACUUUUCGUUUAACAAGUCAACAUCAGUUUCUUUUGUUGUAAAAGGGUCAUUGGAAGGUGGCUUUCUCUUCGGAGAAAGUGUUUAUAGCCUUUGAUCUCUGCAAUCGGAGAGACUGAGGUCUGCAGCGUAGAUCCUUCGGGGUUAGAUACAUUUGUGCUAAGCUACAGCUUUUCAUAGACAACUUGUUGACUAUGUUUAGUCUUGUGACUUACCCGCUUAUGCUAUUUUACCUACGCUUAGGAUGUUGACAAAAUGGUUUUAAACGACCCGUC